rnacentral:rRNA from 1 species
CCUACGGGUGGCAGCAGUGAGGAAUAUUGGUCAAUAGACGAGAGUCUGAACCAGCCAAGUAGCGUGAAGGAUGACUGCCCUAUGGGUUGUAAACUUCUUUUAUAUGGGAAUAAAAUGUUCCACGUGUGGGAUUUUGUAUGUACCAUAUGAAUAAGGAUCGGCUAACUCCGUGCCAGCAGCCGCGGUAAUACGGAGGAUCCGAGCGUUAUCCGGAUUUAUUGGGUUUAAAGGGAGCGUAGGUGGAUUGUUAAGUCAGUUGUGAAAGUUUGCGGCUCAACCGUAAAAUUGCAGUUGAAACUGGCAGUCUUGAGUACAGUAGAGGUGGGCGGAAUUCGUGGUGUAGCGGUGAAAUGCUUAGAUAUCACGAAGAACUCCGAUUGCGAAGGCAGUUCACUGGACUGCAACUGACACUGAGGCUCGAAAGUGUGGGUAUCAAACAGGAUUAGAUACCCUAGUAGUC